CUACUCAUUUUUCAGACUCAGAUGACACUUUAUUUUUUUUUUUUUCUUCUCUGGGCAAUUUAAUAAGCAACUUCUUCUUCCCUCCACCUUUGAUCUUCUUUUUUCUUCCUUUAUACUUACUGGGUUAAUAGGUUUAUUUUUUUAAGCUAUCAUUGGACAACCCCAAAGCAAUAGGUGCCCUUCUGUUUUCUGAUCACCUCUAUAACAUGGGCCAUAGAAAGUCAUUAUUUUUUAAAUUAAGAACUAACAUACUCCUGGAAUAAGGAUGACCAGUGCUCAGAACAAUACUUGGACUGAGCAGAGGAGGACAGUGAACUCUGAGCAUCCGGAGUGGAACUGCAAAAAAAAAGAAGCUGUGCCCUGCUCUACAGAUGUUUCCACGGUUGUCAAGAUCUUUAUCUCCUGUGCUGAACCCUUUAUUUCCCUGCAAGGCAUAGCAUUCCAUGCCACAGGCAGCCACGUUCCACAUCAAAAGGGACAGCACCGUCUCGGCUCCUGUGGAAUCGUGUUUGCUUUAGGCCAGCUGGGCACAGGCUCAAAGGGUGACACUGGCACAGCUGCACCAUUAAUGCAGGCUAUCAGGAACACAGAAUGUGACUGGAUGACUGGAAACCAGCUGCUAUUUCUACAGCCCAUAAUGUAGUGCCAAAAGUCUCCAUAUCCCCUUGAUCCGAACUGGGAGAUAAAAAAUCUGGACUAGGCAGAAAUGCAUACAGUGCUCAGAAUCACAUAUGACCAACAUUACCAUUUACUGCCCCAGGGGCCCUAGGAGCCAGGCACAGCAGCUAGCCUGGGUCAGAGGAGACUUCUGUUCCAUGCAGGAGGCUCCUGGGACUGUCAGGAGACAUUUUGCAGCAGCACUGUACUGUAUUACAGGCAUAAUUUGAAGUCAAACCAGUGAUAGCAAGCCAUAUGGUUCUAGUGGAAGCAUAACAAAAACAUUUAUGU